ensembl:processed_transcript
AUUUUUUUGGUGAACUAUCCCUUUAAGAGCUAAGUAACGCAAGACUACACGGCUGAAUUGGAUAAUUAACUUCUGAAACCUUUUACUGCGCCUUUCUGAAAGAGCGAACUACGAACUUUGCUGAUGUUCAUUAUGAAGCACUGAACAAUGCAUCAUGAAUUACGGUAACCAACGUUUUUUGCAUCGCGGCUGAAGUCGACAUGGCCAGUGGGUUCAAAAACCCAAGGACAUGAGGUGAAUGGCGGCAGGUGCGGUGGCACUAUCCCAGGAUCUAGGACAGUAGAUUUCCUCCAGCUGGCCGAAAGCCUUUCCCCCAGGCGGCUGCGCAACCAGCUACCUGAACCAAGUGCAUGGAGAGAACAUGUAAACUCCACAGAGAAACAUUGACCAGUCUGGUAAAGGCUUACCACUGGGUCUCCG